UACGUAGGGGGCAAGCGUUGUCCGGAAUCAUUGGGCGUAAAGAGCGCGUAGGCGGCCCUGUAAGUCCGCUGUGAAAGUCAAGGGCUCAACCCUUGGAUGCCGGUGGAUACUGCAGGGCUAGAGUCCGGAAGAGGCGAGUGGAAUUCCUGGUGUAGCGGUGAAAUGCGCAGAUAUCAGGAAGAACACCCGUGGCGAAGGCGGCUCUCUGGAACGCAACUGACGCUGAGACGCGAAAGCGUGGGGAGCAAACAGG
rnacentral:rRNA from 1 species